AGAGUUUGAUCCUGGCUCAGAAUGAACGUUGGCGGCGUGGAUUAGGCAUGCAAGUCGUACGCAUAGCUUCGGCUAUGAGUGGCGCAAGGGUGAGUAAUGCGAAGGUAACCAACCCUGGUGUUGGGCAUAGCCGCGGGAAACUGCGGGUAAUUCCCAGCGACGUCACGAGAUGGCAUCAUCUUGUGACCAAAGGUGUGAUUCCGCUCUAGGACGGGCCUUCGUGGUAUUAGGUAGUUGGUGAGGUGACGGCUCACCAAGCCGACGAUGCCUACCGGGUGUGAGAGCAUGACCCGGCACACUGGAACUGAGACACUGUCCAGACACCUACGGGUGGCUGCAGUCGAGAAUCUUCGGCAAUGGGCGAAAGCCUGACCGAGCGACGCCGCGUGAGGGAUUGAAGGCCUUCGGGUUGUAAACCUCUUUCGUAGAGGAGGAAGGGGCCGUGAAGAACGGUCUUUGACCUAUUCUAGGAAGAAGCUUGGGCUAAGUUCGUG
rnacentral:rRNA from 1 species